rnacentral:rRNA from 1 species
AGAACGAACGCUGGCGGCAUGCCUAAUACAUGCAAGUCGAACGAACACUUCGGUGUUAGUGGCGCACGGGUGCGUAACGCGUGGGAAUCUGCCCUUGGGUUCGGAAUAACAGUUGGAAACGACUGCUAAUACCGGAUGAUGACGAAAGUCCAAAGAUUUAUCGCCCAGGGAUGAGCCCGCGUAGGAUUAGCUAGUUGGUGAGGUAAAGCUCACCAAGGCGACGAUCCUUA